UAUUGGACAAUGGGGGCAACCCUGAUCCAGCGACGCCGCGUGUGUGAAGAAGGCCUGCGGGUUGUAAAGCACUUUUAGUGGGGAUGAAAAGCCGAAGGCUAAUACCUUUCGGUCUUGACCUAACCCACAGAAAAAGCACCGGCUAACUCUGUGCCAGCAGCCGCGGUAAUACAGAGGGUGCGAGCGUUAAUCGGAAUUACUGGGCGUAAAGCGUGCGUAGUCGGCUUCUUAAGUCGGGUGUGAAAUCCCCGGGCUCAACCUGGGAAUUGCAUUCGAUACUGGGUCGCUAGAGUUCGGUAGAGGGAAGUGGAAUUUCCGGUGUAGCGGUGAAAUGCGUAGAUAUCGGAAGGAACACCAGUGGCGAAAGCGACUUCCUGGACCAGAACUGACGAUCAGGCACGAAAGCGUGGGGAGCAAACAGG
rnacentral:rRNA from 1 species